UGGGGAAUCUUGCACAAUGGGGGAAACCCUGAUGCAGCGACGCCGCGUGAGCGAUGAAGGUUUUCGAAUCGUAAAGCUCUGUCCUAUGGGAAGAUAAUGACGGUACCAUAGGAGGAAGCCCCGGCUAACUACGUGCCAGCAGCCGCGGUAAUACGUAGGGGGCGAGCGUUGUCCGGAAUUACUGGGCGUAAAGGGUUCGCAGGCGGCAUGACAAGUCCGAUGUAAAAGGCGAAAACUCAACUUUCGUAAGCAUCGGAAACUGUCAAGCUUGAGUGAAGGAGAGGCAAGUGGAAUUCCUAGUGUAGCGGUGGAAUGCGUAGAUAUUAGGAGGAAUACCGGUGGCGAAGGCGACUUGCUGGACUUCAACUGACGCUGAGGAACGAAAGCGUGGGUAGCAAACAGG
rnacentral:rRNA from 1 species